rnacentral:rRNA from 1 species
AACCUGGUUGAUCCUGCCAGUAGUCAUAUGCUUGUCUUAAAGAUUAAGCCAUGCAUGUCUAAGUAUAAACACUUUGUACUUGUGAAACUGCGAAUGGCUCAUUAAAUCAGUUAUAAUUUAUUUGAUGGUCCUUUUACUACUUGGAUAACCGUGGUAAAUCUAGAGCUAAUACAUGCACAAAAUCCUGACUGCUCUCGGGUAGGAGGGAUGUAUUUAUUAGAUUCAAAAGCCAAUGCCAUCUUUCGGGGUGGAAAUUUUUUAUAUGGUGAAUCAUGAUAACUUUACGAAUCGUAUGGUCUUGUACCGACGAUAGUUCAUUCAAAUAUCUGCCCUAUCAACUUUCGAUGGUAGUAUAGAGGACUACCAUGGUGGUAACGGGUAACGGAGAAUCAGGGUUUGAUUCCGGAGAAGGAGCCUGAGAAACGGCUACUACUUCCAAGGAAGGCAGCAGGCGCGCAAAUUACCCAAUCCCGACACGGGGAGGUAGUGACAAAAAAUAACAAUACCGGUCUUAUUUAAGUCUGGUAAUUGGAAUGAGUACAAUCUAAAACCUUUAACGAGUAUCAAUUGGAGGGCAAGUCUGGUGCCAGCAGCCGCGGUAAUUCCAGCUCCAAUAGCAUAUAUUAAAGUUGUUGCAGUUAAAAAGCUCGUAGUUGGAUUUUGAUGUUACUUAUUAUGACCCGCCUUGUAUAAGGUGUGUUUGUUGUGAUAAGUACAUCUCCUUACUAGACUUUCAUGRUUGCACUUAAUUGAGUGAUCAUUUCAUCUUGAUUUAUUGGGGUGAGUGAUGAGUAGACCUAUUGGGUUUGAGAUUGUGGAUGAACUUCUUCGGAGGUUGGUUCUGCUUAGAUUCAGUAACUAUUCAUUAGAAAUCUAGUUCAUUUACUUUGAGUAAAUUAGAGUGUUCAAGGCAAGCAAAUUUGUUUCUGCAAUGAAUACUAUUAGCAUGGGAUAAUGGAACAGGACACGUAUUCUAGUUUUCCGUUGGUUUCUAGAAUUUUUAGUCUCUCUUUUCGGAGRGGCGAAGUGUAAUGAUUAAAAGGGACAGUUGGGGGCAUUCGUAUUUCAUUGUCAGAGGUGAAAUUCUUGGAUUUAUGAAAGACGAACUUCUGCGAAAGCAUUUGUCAAAGAUGUUUUCAUUAAUCAAGAACGAAAGUUAGGGGAUCGAAGACGAUCAGAUACCGUCGUAGUCUUAACCAUAAACUAUGCCGACCAGGGAUUGGAAGAUGUAUUAUCCUAUGUUUAACCGUAGGAAAACUCCUUCAGCACCUUACGAGAAAUCAUAAGUCUUUGGGUUCUGGGGGGAGUAUGGUCGCAAGGCUGAAACUUAAAGGAAUUGACGGAAGGGCACCACCAGGAGUGGAGCCUGCGGCUUAAUUUGACUCAACACGGGAAAACUCACCAGGUCCAGACACAGUUAGGAUUGACAGAUUGAGAGCUCUUUCUUGAUUCUGUGGGUGGUGGUGCAUGGCCGUUCUUAGUUGGUGGAGUGAUUUGUCUGGUUAAUUCCGAUAACGAACGAGACCUCAGCCUGCUAAUUAGUGAUGCAAAUGAUUACRUCCGCAAGGAAAGGGUUCUUGUUAAAGCUCUGAGUUUGACUUGGAGAUUUAAURAGAAAACUUGUUUUCAUUUGUUAGAGUUUUGAUCUCYUCGGAGUGAUAGAUUCGAUAAUGACUUCUUAGAGGGACACUUGGUGUUUAACCAAGGGAAGUUUGAGGCAAUAACAGGUCUGUGAUGCCCUUUAGAUGUUCUGGGCUGCACGCGCGCUACACUGAUACGAUCAACGAGUACUGAAGACCUGGUCCGAAAGGAUUGGGUAAACUUUUGAAAUCGUAUCGUGCUGGGGAUCGAUAAUUGUAAUUAUUUAUCGUGAACGAGGAAUUCCUAGUAAGCGCAAGUCAACAGCUUGCGCUGAUUACGUCCCUGCCCUUUGUACACACCGCCCGUCGCUACUACCGAUGUUUGGUCCGGUGAAAUCUUAGGAUUCGCGACUUUCACUUGCUUUACUCUCGGGUAGAGCGAGUUUGUUGUGGAGAAUUUGAGUGAACCUUGCCAAAUAGAGGAAGUAAAAGUCGUAACAAGGUAUUCGUAGGUGAACCUGCAGAAGGAUCA